UACGUAGGGUGCAAGCGUUAUCCGGAAUUAUUGGGCGUAAAGAGCUCGUAGGCGGUUUGUCACGUCUGCUGUGAAAACUGGAGGCUCAACCUCCAGCCUGCAGUGGGUACGGGCAGACUAGAGUGCGGUAGGGGAGAUUGGAAUUCCUGGUGUAGCGGUGGAAUGCGCAGAUAUCAGGAGGAACACCGAUGGCGAAGGCAGAUCUCUGGGCCGUAACUGACGCUGAGGAGCGAAAAGCAUGGGGGAGCGAACAGG
rnacentral:rRNA from 1 species